rnacentral:rRNA from 1 species
UACGUAGGGGGCUAGCGUUGUCCGGAAUUACUGGGCGUAAAGGGCGCGUAGGCGGUGCUCUAAGUCGGAUGUGAAAACUCUGGGCUCAACCCAGAGCCUGCAUCCGAAACUGGAGUGCUAGAGUUCUGGAGGGGGUAGCGGAAUUCCUGGUGUAGCGGUGAAAUGCGUAGAUAUCAGGAGGAACACCGGUGGCGAAGGCGGCAUCCUGGACCAACACUGACGCUGAGGAGCGAAAGCCAGGGGAGCAAACGGG